UGAGAUUCAGGUGCCCAGGUGUGGGAUUCAGGUGUUCAGGUGUGAGAUUCAGGUGCCCAGGUGUGGGAUUCAGGUGCCCAGGUGUGAGAUUCAGGUGCCCAGGUGUGGGAUUCAGGUGCCCAGGUGUGAGAUUCAGGUGCCCAGGUGUGGGAUUCAGGUGUUCAGGUGUGGGAUUCAGGUGCCCAGGUGUGGGAUUCAGGUGUUCAGGUGUGGGAUUCAGGUGUUCAGGUGUGAGGUGCAGAGCAGUGGAGUGCAGGUGUUCAGGUGUGGGGUGCAGGUGACACCUGGGGACCUCAGGGCUGGUGGCACCUGGGACCCAGGUGUGGUCUCGGGGUGCACCUGAGACAGGUGACAGGAGCACCUGAGACAGGUGACACAGUGCCCCAGGUGACAGGAGCACCUGAGACAGGUGACACAGUGCCCCAGGUGACAGAGACACCUGAGACAGGUGACACAGUGCCCCAGGUGACAGGAGCACCUGAGACAGGUGACACAGUGCCCAGGUGACAGGAGCACCUGACACAGGUGACACAGUGCCCCAGGUGACAGGAGCACCUGACACAGGUGACACAGUGCCCCAGGUGACAGAGACACCUGAGACAGGUGACACAGUGCCCCAGGUGACAGGAGCACCUGACACAGGUGACACAGUGCCCCAGGUGACAGAGACACCUGAGACAGGUGACACAGUGCCCCAGGUGACAGGGACUGUCCAAGGUGCACCUGAGACAGGUGACAGAGUGCCCAGGUGACAGGAGCACCUGAGACAGGUGACACAGUGCCCCAGGUGACAGGAGCACCUGAGACAGGUGACACAGUGCCCCAGGUGACAGGAGCACCUGAGCCAGGUGACACAGUGACACAGGUGACAGGAGCACCUGAGACAGGUGACACAGUGCCCCAGGUGACAGAGACACCUGACACAGGUGACACAGUGCUCCAGGUGACAGGAGUUACCCCGAUGUACCCCCAGCACAGGUGACACAGUAACACAGGUGACAGGAGCACCUGAGACAGGUGACACAGUGCCCCAGGUGACAGGAGCACCUGAGACAGGUGACACA